rnacentral:rRNA from 1 species
CGGGAGGCAGCAGUCGGGAAUAUUGGACAAUGGGGGCAACCCUGAUCCAGCAAUACCGCGUGUGUGAAGAAGGCCUGCGGGUUGUAAAGCACUUUUAGUAGGGAAGAUAAUGACGUUACCUACAGAAAAAGCACCGGCUAACUCCGUGCCAGCAGCCGCGGUAAUACGGAGGGUGCAAGCGUUAAUCGGAAUUACUGGGCGUAAAGCGUGCGUAGGCGGCUCUUUAAGUCAGAUGUGAAAUCCCCGGGCUCAACCUGGGAACUGCAUCUGAUACUGGGGAGCUAGAAUGUGGGAGAGGGAAGUGGAAUUUCCGGUGUAGCGGUGAAAUGCAUAGAGAUCGGAAGGAACAUCAGUGGCGAAGGCGACUUCCUGGACCAACAUUGACGCUGAGGCACGAAAGCGUGGGUAGCAAACAGGAUUAGAUACCCUGGUAGUCCACGCCGUAAACGAUGUCAACUAGCCGUCGGCUCCAACUAAGGGGUCGGUGGUGCAGCUAACGCAUUAAGUUGACCGCCUGGGGAGUACGCGCGCAAGCGUAAAACUCAAAGGAAUUGACGG